AACGAACGCUGGCGGCAUGCCUAACACAUGCAAGUCGAACGAAGGCUUCGGCCUUAGUGGCGCACGGGUGCGUAACGCGUGGGAAUCUGCCCUUUGGUUCGGAAUAACAGCUGGAAACGGCUGCUAAUACCGGAUGAUGACGAAAGUCCAAAGAUUUAUCGCCAGAGGAUGAGCCCGCGUUGGAUUAGGUAGUUGGUGGGGUAAAGGCCUACCAAGCCGACGAUCCAUAGCUGGUCUGAGAGGAUGAUCAGCCACACUGGGACUGAGACCCGGCCCAGACUCCUACGGGAGGCAGCAGUGGGGAAUAUUGGACAAUGGGCGCAAGCCUGAUCCAGCCAUGCCGCGUGAGUGAUGAAGGCCCUAGGGUUGUAAAGCUCUUUUACCCGGGAAGAUAAUGACUGUACCGGGAGAAUAAGCCCCGGCUAACUCCGUG
rnacentral:rRNA from 1 species